AGAAAUACAGAAAUACUUUGAUAAGCUGCUGGGGGUAAGGGGUGAGUCCUCUCAGGGGCAUGCUUAGGAAACAAAGUAGUUCCCAAAAUCUAUGCAUAUGACAGAGAAGAAUUAGAUGGCCUUUGAGAGACCCAGAAGAAAAUGCAAAAAGAAAUAAGGAAAAAAAGGACAAAGCAACCUGCUGUGAGCCUCCUAAUCUUCCAUGGCCUGAAUUCCUAGUGCUCGAGAAACAAGCCCUGUGAAAAACAAGCUGCUGUCCCUGCUAGAGGCAUCCUGCAAUCCAUGGAUGUUUAUCACCAAGCCAUUGUUAACAUGAGACUUCAUCUGAUAGCCUGUGCAAUUGGAAGGACAUUCCCAAUUCUUCUGAUAGAGCCACUUCAGCAGCUUGCUCACACUCAUGCAACUAGCACAAGGAAAUCAAGUCUCAAAGUGGCUUUCAACAAGUCCUUCUG